rnacentral:rRNA from 1 species
AACGAACGCUGGCGGCAGGCCUAACACAUGCAAGUCGAACGAGACCUUCGGGUCUAGUGGCGCACGGGUGCGUAACGCGUGGGAAUCUGCCCUUGGGUUCGGAAUAAACUUCGGGAAACUGAAGCUAAUACCGGAUGAUGACGUAAGUCCAAAGAUUUAUCGCCCAAGGAUGAGCCCGCGUAGGAUUAGCUAGUUGGUGAGGUAAAGGCUCACCAAGGCGACGAUCCUUAGCUGGUCUGAGAGGAUGAUCAGCCACACUGGGACUGAGACACGGCCCAGACUCCUACGGGAGGCAGCAGUGGGGAAUAUUGGACAAUGGGCGGCAAGCCUGAUCCAGCAAUGCCGCGUGCAGGAUGAAGG